rnacentral:rRNA from 1 species
UUAUUUUCAGGAAGCUUUCGGGUGGAAUGAACUUAACUUAGCGGCGGACGGGUGAGUAACGCGUGGGCAACCUACCCUGGACAGGGGGAUAACAAUGGGAAACCAUUGCUAAUACCCCAUAAUACCUUUUAGGGGCAUCCCUUUAAGGUCAAAGAAUUUCGGUACAGGAUGGGCCCGCGUCUGAUUAGCUAGUUGGUGAGGUAAUGGCUCACCAAGGCGACGAUCAGUAGCCGGCCUGAGAGGGUGAACGGCCACACUGGAACUGAGACACGGUCCAGACUCCUACGGGAGGCAGCAGUGGGGAAUAUUGCACAAUGGGCGAAAGCCUGAUGCAGCAACACCGCGUGAGCGAUGAAGGCUUUCGGGUCGUAAAGCUCUGUCCUAAGGGAAGAUAAUGACGGUACCUUAGGAGGAAGCCCCGGCUAACUACGUGCCAGCAGCCGCGGUAAUACGUAGGGGGCAAGCGUUAUCCGGAAUCAUUGGGCGUAAAGGGUGCGUAGGCGGCCCUAUAGGUCAGGGGUCAAAGGCUACGGCUCAACCGUAGUAAGCCUUUGAAACUGUAGGGCUUGAGUGCAGGAGAGGAGAGUGGAAUUCCUAGUGUAGCGGUGAAAUGCGUAGAUAUUAGGAGGAACACCAGUGGCGAAGGCGACUCUCUGGACUGCAACUGACGCUGAGGCACGAAAGCGUGGGGAGCGAACAGGAUUAGAUACCCUGGUAGUCCACGCCGUAAACGAUGAGUGCUAGGUGUCGGGGGUCGAACCUCGGUGCCGCAGCUAACGCAUUAAGCACUCCGCCUGGGGAGUACGUUCGCAAGAAUGAAACUCAAAGGAAUUGACGGGGACCCGCACAAGCAGCGGAGCAUGUGGUUUAAUUCGAAGCAACGCGAAGAACCUUACCUGGACUUGACAUCCCUCGGACCGCUUUUUAACCAAAGCCUUCCCUUCGGGGACUGAGGUGACAGGUGGUGCAUGGUUGUCGUCAGCUCG